CUGUCUCUUCUUCUCCCUCUUCACUCAUCCUUUUGUCAGUGUCUCAUUCACCCUUUCCUUUUCUCACUCUUGCUCCAUGUCACUGAUCAGUUCACUCCUGCUCUCUUUCACUUCCUCUAUUUGCAAAGCAGCCUGUCUCUUCAUCUCUUUGCCUCUGUCUAGUUCCCCAUUUUGCUCUCUCACUCUUUCAUUCCAUCUCCCCCAUUAAUCUGUCAGGUUUCUCCAUCCCGGACACCAGUGUUCUCCAGUGAUCAGCAGGUCUUGAGGCUGCAUCAUCACCACACUUCCGGGCUCCUUUCAGACACCGGCUGGCCCAUCCCAGGAGCUGGUUCCUCUCUCGGAUGUGCAGACAUUGGGGAAGUGUCUCGCCCCAUGGGACGGACGGUCACAGAUAUUUCUAAGAGCUCAGUUGCUAUUUAGGUAGCCCAUCGCAGGAGCAGAUUCACCCAGCAGCAGCAUCCUGUUACACCCAGCAUGGAGCUCCUCCAUCUCCUGGCUUCUCUCCAGAUCUUUCCCCGGCUGGUGUCACCUGCAGCCCCCCUGCAAGCCCCCACCAUCAUCGUGGACCCCCAUCACCCUGUGUAUUUCCCGGGGGAGCGUCUCACCCUCA